rnacentral:rRNA from 1 species
UGGGGAAUCUUCCGCAAUGGGCGCAAGCCUGACGGAGCAACGCCGCGUGAGUGAAGAAGGGUUUCGACUCGUAAAGCUCUGUUGUCGGGGACGAAUGUGGAGGUUGUGAAUAACAGCUUCCAAUGACGGUACCUGACGAGGAAGCCACGGCUAACUACGUGCCAGCAGCCGCGGUAAUACGUAGGUGGCGAGCGUUGUCCGGAAUUAUUGGGCGUAAAGGGAGCGCAGGCGGGAGGUCAAGUCUAUCUUAAAAGUGCGGGGCUCAACCCCGUGAGGGGAUGGAAACUGGUCUUCUUGAGUGCAGGAGAGGAAAGCGGAAUUCCUAGUGUAGCGGUGAAAUGCGUAGAUAUUAGGAGGAACACCAGUGGCGAAGGCGGCUUUCUGGACUGUAACUGACGCUGAGGCUCGAAAGCGUGGGGAGCGAACAGGAUUAGAUACCCUGGUAGUCCACGCCGUAAACGAUGAAUGCUAGGUGUAGGAGGUAUCGACCCCUCCUGUGCCGGAGUUAACGCAAUAAGCAUUCCGCCUGGGGAGUACGGCCGCAAGGCUG